rnacentral:rRNA from 1 species
UGGGGAAUAUUGGACAAUGGGCGCAAGCCUGAUCCAGCAAUGCCGCGUGGGUGAAGAAGGUCUUCGGAUCGUAAAGCCCUUUCGGCGGGGACGAUGAUGACGGUACCCGCAGAAGAAGCCCCGGCUAACUUCGUGCCAGCAGCCGCGGUAAUACGAAGGGGGCUAGCGUUACUCGGAAUUACUGGGCGUAAAGGGCGCGUAGGCGGCGCACCAAGUUAGGCGUGAAAGUCCUGGGCUCAACCUGGGAACUGCGCUUGAUACUGGUGUGCUUGAGGAUGGAAGAGGGUUGUGGAAUUCCCAGUGUAGAGGUGAAAUUCGUAGAUAUUGGGAAGAACACCGGUGGCGAAGGCGGCAACCUGGUCCAUUACUGACGCUGAGGCGCGACAGCGUGGGGAGCAAA